AUUGAACGCUGGCGGCAGGCUUAACACAUGCAAGUCGAGCGGAGUGAUGGUGCUUGCACUAUCACUUAGCGGCGGACGGGUGAGUAAUGCUUAGGAAUCUGCCAUUUAGUGGGGGACAACAUUCCGAAAGGAAUGCUAAUACCGCAUACGUCCUACGGGAGAAAGCAGGGGAUCUUCGAACCUUGCGCUAAAUGAUGAGCCUAAGUCGGAUUAGCUAGUUGGUGGGGUAAAGGCCUACCAAGGCGACGAUCUGUAGCGGGUCUGAGAGGAUGAUCCGCCACACUGGGACUGAGACACGGCCCAGACUCCUACGGGAGGUAGCAGUGGGGAAUAUUGGACAAUGGGCGGAAGCCUGAUCCAGCCAUGCCGCGUGUGUGAAGAAGGCCUUUUGGUUGUAAAGCACUUUAAGCGAGGAGGAGGCUACUAGUACUAAUACUACUGGAUAGUGGACGUUACUCGCAGAAUAAGCACCGGCUAACUCUGUGCCAGCCGCCGCGGUAACAC
rnacentral:rRNA from 1 species